rnacentral:rRNA from 1 species
UAUUAUAAUCCCAAACCACUACUGAGUAAUUCUAUACUACUAUAGAAAAUUUUAUGUUAAAACUAGUAACAAGAAGAAGACUCUUCUCUUAAAUGCAAGCGUAAAUCAGAAAGGACAAACCACUGAUAUUUAACAUCCAUGAGCCUGAAAUAGAAACUUACCAGGAAAAUCCUACUUCCCCCUAUGUUAAUCUUACACUAGAGCAUUUUAAGAAAGAUUAAAAGAAAAAGAAGGAACUCGGCAAAUAUUAACCUCGCCUGUUUACCAAAAACAUCGCCUCUUGAAUUAAUAUAAGAGGUCCAGCCUGCCCAGUGACCCUGUUCAACGGCCGCGGUAUCCUAACCGUGCGAAGGUAGCGUAAUCACUUGUUCUUAAAUGAGGACUAGUAUGAACGGCAUCACGAAGGUUAUACUGUCUCCUUUUUCUAAUCAGUGAACCUAAUCUCCCCGUGAAGAAGCGGGGAUGUAAUUAUAAGACGAGAAGACCCUAUGGAGCUUAAAACAACACAGCACUUGCUAAAAAACUAAACAAUUUCAGAAUUCUCAUUUUCUAAGCAACAUGACUGUAAGUUUUUGGUUGGGGUGACCACGGAGUAUAAUAUAACCUCCAUGUUGGAAGAAUUUUAUUCUAAGCCAAAAAUUACAUUUUUAAGCAUCAAUAAAUUGACAUCUAUUGACCCAAUAUAUUUGAACAACGAACCAAGUUACCCUAGGGAUAACAGCGCAAUCCACUUCAAGAGCUCCUAUCGACAAGUGGGUUUACGACCUCGAUGUUGGAUCAGGGUAUCCAGUGGUGCAGCCGC